CAUACAGCUCCAUUCUACAGUUUUUGCAGAGAAGCAGCCAAGAACCAGUGGUUGAGCCCUUCGUAUAAACUCCUUCCUUCUGUGAUGGUUUGUAAAUGCUUGGCCCAGGGAGUGUCCCCAUUAGAAGGUGUGGCCCUGUUGGAGUAGGCAUAUCACUGUGGGUGUGAGCUUAAGGCCCUCACCCUAGCUGUCUGGAAGUCAGUUUUACACGGCAGCCUUCAGAUGGAGAUGUAGAACUCUCAGCUCCUCCUGCACCGUGCCUGCCUGGAUGCCGCCAUGUUCCUGUCUUGGUGAUACUGGGCUGAACCUCUGAACCUGUCUGUGAUGAUAUCCACUUGACUGUUCUGAAGAGUGCCUGCUGAAGCUUUCCUCCAGAGCGUGAAACCAAGGAAUAAACUAGGAAGGAGAAGCAAGCCACUUUGCAAAUGAGCUUAUGCAAGCCCUUAAAUGUCCCAAGGGAUCAGAAAACCCAAGCAUUACAAUAGCCAGGCACUGUCUGCGACUUUGCAUAGAAUCUUUUAAAGACAUUCCAAUCUUUUGGAAUGGUUUGCUGGGGCUGUUCUACCUUGGAGCCUCUUCCUCUCUUUUCUUUAGUAAAUCUAUAUGUCUUCGCUUAAAAAAAAGAGAUAAGUGAAA